rnacentral:lncRNA from 1 species
AAGGAUCGGCCAUUUUUAGUGCAGAUGGUGGCGCAGAACGUCAUGAAACAUGUCGGCCGUACGUAUGGUCCUCUGACACCGGAGUUCCGAAAACUGGAGGCAGAAGCGGUAAAGAAGGAGCAGGCAGUAGCAGCAGCAGCAGCACAGCAAGGACAGAAGGCUUUUGCCGUCCCAAGUAACAGAGGUGGUAUCGUGGCCCUGAAAGCUCAUCAGUAUUCGCAAUCCGGAGUGAUGAAGGGUAAUGACAGUGUAGAUGGCGGAUGCUUGUCUUCUGGUGGUAAUAUUGGGUCCUCUUUGCAAUGGAGAGAAGAGCAGGAAGUGGAGAGAAGAGCAGCAAGUGGAGAGAAGAGCAGCAACAAAGAGGUUGACAUCCACCUAUCCAUUUGCGAGUCGCUAAACGCUACGGUGGAGUACAUGGCGCGCUGGCAACGAGGUGUACAUCGUUGGCAGGUAAGCCCAUUCAUCCAACGAAGCAAAACUAGUACUGCUUAUCAUCCCACCAUUUUUAUCUAGGACGUUCGUCUGAUGGAAGGUGAGGAGCAUCCGUCUCUCCAGCCAACAGAUAGAGCACACGGAUAGGAGUGAAAGAUCCACAUGCCGGAUUUGCGAGGCCAUAAUAUGGGCCGUGACCCUGCAUUUGCCGAGAAAUACACGUUCAAUCGACAUGAUCAUUAAGUUGACUAUGAAGCGGAAAUUUAAAACAACUGAUCGUGAGGGUUGGGUCGGUACCAGCCUGCACACAUUUUUAAUAAAUGUCUUUAAAAUAUAACAAAUAUUUUAUUACCGCAGCUUCGUAACCAUUCCUUCACCAUUCAAAGCUGCCAAUGCUUGACAAUUAAAAAUGUGCACGGUUACCGUAACACGUUCCACUCUGGGAGAAAAGGGGGGUCUGCCAUUCUGUGAAAUUAGUUCCGUAAAAUUUAGCCAUUUGCGGAUUCAGUAGAUUUUACGGAGUUCGUAAGUCAGCCACCGGAUUACGGAAACCACAUAUCGGACGCGAGCUGAUGUUUUACGGAAGGUUCAUACUUUCAAACGGAAGGCAUCAGGAAACACAUUUGCGGAAAUGAAGCUGUAAUUAUAUGUAUGAACCUGUA